CUAUGAUUCCAUAAUGUGCCACCUACAUCAAGGCAUAAAGGAUCUCUGCACAGGUGUAACUCAAGCAGUGUCCCUGCUCAAAGAGCAAUCCUAUCGUGCAACCAAGUGUCAUGCAGGGAGAACUCAAGAGACUCUUACUCUACUCACUAUUUAUGAGCUCCAAGACCUAACACUAAGGGGCACCAGAGAACUGAACUGCAUCUGUUCAGAUCCAUCAGGAACCAGCUGCUGCAACGAACCCAGUAAGAUUCAGCGUGCUGCGUGGAGAGGGAAUGGGGCUUUGGGGGAAACAUAACAGGCGAGACAAGAGUUCUGCAUGACACAUCCUCUGUUACAGAAAACAGACUGGAAGAGCAAGGAUGCACACAUCUCAGGAAUGCUGAAUGUCUUCUCAUCGUAGUCUAUUGUGGGGUUUUGGAAAAGAACUCUCACUCUAUUUUUCCAGACAAAAGUUGGGAAAUGUGUGAAAAUAUUGAGAUUUUUCAUAGAAGACAAGUAUAUCUAAAAAAUCUUAGCAGAUUGGAAGUGUAUUUUGUUUGAUCCUAGUCAAGCGUAAACAGAGGAGCACAGAUUUACACUUGCAUUCUUAUAUUAACUUUCGGAUGAAGUCUAGAUACCAGCUUUUUUUAUUACCAAUUCUGAAAAUUCAACUAUGGAGAUAAAGAACAUUACUGAUUUCCCUGUGGAUGGCAAAAUUGCCUAUUACCCUCUCAUUUUCCCAACAGGACCACAGGAAAAUAAUAUACAUUAAAAAAAAAAUCAAGCCUAUUCACCAGCUGAGUACUCCAAAACUGACUUCCUUCACCUCAUUUGACUGCCAAAUCAAAAAUAAUCAUGCCAGUGCCACAUAUCUUAUACAACGCAUUCUGAAAAUCUGAAAAUGUCAGGUUUCCUGAUAUCAAAACCUGUUGCUUAUUCCAGUUGUUUUUUUUUUUAGUUCUGUUUUUUUUUUUCUUUCCUGUUUCAUUCCCGCUUUUCCACUGAAAAAUGUAUAAGAAGUAAAAUACAAUUAAAUAAAUGACACUGUGAGUUAGACGACUCACGUUGUUCUGAUUAAAAGCUCGGUCACGGUCAUCUUUCAGAAUGGAAAGCAUUACAAAAAUGCAGUUACACUACAGGACCCAGUAUGUCAAAUCAUUGGAAUCAAAGCUCCAAGACCAAAAUUAAUAAUGUACCAUUAGCAGAUGGUGAGAGCUGAUUGACUAAGAAUUGCAAACUGCAUUCUGAUUGAGUACUGUAGACUUUUCUUACAAUACCAGCAUUUAUUUCUGUCUUUUUAAAUAGUCUAUCAAAAUAAAAUCCACAGUUAACUUCUGCUCAGUGUAGAAUUUGACUCAUAGAUCUUUUAAGGCCAGAUGAGACCAUUAUGAUAAUGUGCCUUGACCCCCAGCACUACACAGGGCAUAAAGCCUCACUCAGCAAUUCCUCCCUCAGGUCUGCAUCUUCUGUUUGAGUUAUACCAUUUCCUUCUGAAAGACAUCCAACCUCACUUUAUUGCUCAAAGUGAUGGAAAUUCCAGUACAUUCUGUGGUAAACUCACCCCUUGGUUAAUGACAUCUGCAGACAGAAAAGUUUCAAGUUUUUUCCUUUUCUGACCUGGUCUAGUUUCAGAUUUAAUUUCACAGAACUAGAGAGCCAUCAGCUAUUAGAAAUGAUAUCACUUUAUAGACCAAGGAUAAAGCUUUCUUUAACCAAAUAACGGGGAAAGCUAUCUGGUCCUUUCCCUCUGGAUGGAGAAAACCUCGGGAAUGAGGAUAGGCAUGUCCUCUAAGACUUUCUCCAAUCCAAUGGGGAAAUAAGAACAUACAUCUUCGUUGUGCUCUGACUAGAAGCAUACAUGAUGUCUUGAGAGUAAGACUUUGUAGCACUAGGCUAGUAGAGGUCUUCAUAUGAUAACAUUCAACCUCUUCUCUUGUCUUGUGAGGGAUCCAAAUGCACCCGUUGGUGUUACAUUUAGGUGCCUCAGCAAGCAAGACAAAGGUAAUUCAGGGAGUCACCAAACAGUAUGUUCAUUAAAGCAAGAGAUUCUACUGGUAGGGUCCAGAAGUUAGUGGGAUCUCUGCUGUGGGUGUGAGAUCACCAGCUAUCUGGCUUUCAUCACCCUAGUAAGACAGUUAACCAUGUUCUCUAUCUCUCUCUCCAGGCAGUGACAUCCAAAAGGUGAAACACAAAGACUGGCAGCACUUACUCAGCUCAAGUGUGCCAGACCAGGGUUCUGCAAAACUUCUCAUGUGGGAUCAGCUUGGGGUUUAUGGGCAUUUCCCUGCUUACCAACAGGAAGGCAAGGAAGCUAUUUUCAGGCAUUUUACUGUGGGGCCAAAACCUGCUGGGAUCCAGUCCCUGGGGUUUCAUGUGCCAUUUGUGAUUUGCUAGGACCAGGACAGACACGACAGCAGCCGUCACCCUGAAUGGACAUGGCAUUUGGGGACACAGAGGAAGGAGACCCUGCAGAGGAGAGAGGGCUGGAGUGUGGAUUUGAGCAGUGCCUUCAGCAAGGGGAAGCAGGGAGGCGAGUGGAAGGAGUUACACUGAGGAGGCCCUUUGGAGGGGCCAUGUGGUCCCCAGUGCCUCUCCCUCCUCCUCCUCCUCCUCCUCCUCAGGCAGGAGGAGGCAGACUUGCUGCUGCUGCCAAUGCGCCAGGAUAGAGAGAUCUCGGCGCGGGAGGAGAUGACGCAAAAGGCAGAGCUCCCCCCAAAAAAGUGUUUCUCCAGGACGAAGAUGGCGGCAACUUAGCCCAAGGGCCCAAGAUGCCUGUGGCCAUCG
ensembl:lncRNA